UGAAGUAUGGUAAGGUGCACUCCUCCACGAUUAGAGGCCCUGGUUGUGUCCGGCGGCUGACAGUGUGCAAACACCGAAAACAAGAAGCUGUCCCUGCUAUUAAAUAAUACAGCGGGAAAAAGCCUGCAGGGUGAAAUGAGUGCAGACGAGAUGAGUGAGUGACAUCGAGGAGAACAGAUGAGCGGUGAAAGACCGUUUGAAGGGGAGGUUGAGCAUAGUGAAGGAGGGGCAAAAGAAGUGAGGUCCGUUCUUCAACUCUGGCCUUUGUUUGCAUUGGUCAUUAUUUGCUCUA